UGCUGCGGCCACAACGCAGAGUACUAACCACUAUACGAUCACGGCGCGCUACCGGGGUCGGGCCUGGUUAGUACUUGGAUGGGAGACCUCCUGGGAAUACCGGGUGCCGUAGGCU
rnacentral:rRNA from 1 species